rnacentral:tRNA from 1 species
GCCGAGGUAGCUCAGUCGGUAGAGCACCGCACUGAAAAUGCGGGUGUCGGCAGUUCGAUUCUGCCCCUCGGCACCA